AUUGAACGCUGGCGGCAGGCCUAACACAUGCAAGUCGAACGAGUGGCGGACGGGUGAGUAAUGUCUGGGAAACUGCCUGGUGGAGGGGGAUAACUCCUGGAAACGGUAGCUAAUACCGCAUACCAUCGGAUGUGCCCAGAUGGGAUUAGCUAGUAUGUGGGGUAACGGCUCACCUAGGCGACGAUCCCUAGCUGGCCUGAGAGGAUGACCGGCCACACUGGAACUGAGACACGGUCCAGACUCCUACGGGAGGCAGCAGUGGGGAAUAUUGCACAAUGGGCGAAAGCCGGAUGCAGCAAUGCCGCGUGUAUGAAGAAGGCCUUCGGUUUGUAAAGUACUUUCAGCGGGGAGGCGUUACCCGCAGAAAAAGCAACGGCUAACUACGUGCCAGCAGCCGCGGUAAUAC
rnacentral:rRNA from 1 species